rnacentral:rRNA from 1 species
AUACGGAGGGUCCGAGCGUUAUCCGGAAUCAUUGGGUUUAAAGGGUCCGCAGGCGGGCGAUUAAGUCAGGGGUGAAAUGGUGCGGCUCAACCGUAGCACUGCCCUUGAUACUGGUUGUCUUGAGUCAUAGUGAAGUGGCCGGAAUAUGUAGUGUAGCGGUGAAAUGCAUAGAUAUUACAUAGAACACCGAUUGCGAAGGCAGGUCACUAACUAUCGACUGACGCUGAUGGACGAAAGCGUGGGGAGC